UACGUAGGGUGCAAGCGUUAAUCGGAAUUACUGGGCGUAAAGCGUGCGCAGGCGGUCUUGUAAGACAGGUGUGAAAUCCCCGGGCUUAACCUGGGAACUGCACUUGUGACUGCAAGGCUGGAGUACGGCAGAGGGGGAUGGAAUUCCGCGUGUAGCAGUGAAAUGCGUAGAUAUGCGGAGGAACACCGAUGGCGAAGGCAAUCCCCUGGGCCUGUACUGACGCUCAUGCACGAAAGCGUGGGGAGCAAACAGGAUUAGAUACCCUGGUAGUCCACGCCCUAAACGAUGUCAACUGGUUGUUGGGUCUUCACUGACUCAGUAACGAAGCUAACGCGUGAAGUUGACCGCCUGGGGAGUACGGCCGCAAGGUUGAA
rnacentral:rRNA from 1 species